CUCAUCCUUCUGGGGAUCUUGAAACUAACUCUGCCGUUAUAGCUUCUCAUUCUUCUGCUGACCGAGCGCGCACAAGUGCUCACUGUUUGACGGCGGCCGUUUCGUUCCCGCUGUUGGAGGCAGAAUCGGAAUUCAUAUGACUUCAACCAGUAGAUGUCGGUAGCGCCCAUUGAAGCUGGCGCCACCUCGCCGUAAAACAGAACGAAGAAGAAAAGGACGUCACUUCGCCUUCGCGGACGAGUCGCGAAUUGCAUUUCCCGUUCACCAACUGAACGGAACUGUGAGUGAAAGAGUCACUGAGUGAGCGAUUUGCAUUUCCAGAUCAUCGUGAGACCGGAUCAGCGAGGGAACGAAUCGUGACUUUCCCGUUCGCGAACAAGGCAAUGCAGUUGACCGCCUGCCUGCCUGCCUGCCUGCCUGCCUGCCUGCCUGCCUGCCUGCCUGCCUGCCUGCCUGCCUGCCUGCCUGCCUGCCUGCCUGCCUGCCUGCCUGCCUGCCUGCCUGCCUGCCUGCCUGCCUUCCUUCCUGCCUUCCUUCCUGCCUUCCUUCCAUCCCGUGCGUGCAUCAACGGAUCAGUCAGUAAAAGUGUUGCGUCGUCUCCUUGCUGGCGUGGACUAUGGAAGGCAGAAUGUCGAUUUGCCAAGGAAAGCAAGAAGCACACCACUUCUCUCAUGCACCUUUUCUCCAGCUAACUUUAUUGCAUGAAGGGGUGCGCCGUUAUGUAACAACGGGGAGAGAGAGCAUGCUUCUCUUUGGUCAUCUUGAUUUUAGAACACUUCUUGUAGGUUUUAAAUAUACACGCCUAAAUCAAAGUCAAAGUCUGCUUUAUUGUCAAAUAAAUAUUGUGAUCCAAAAUAUCUACUGCAAUCUCACAUUAGAUUGCUGGUUUGAAAUGUACUUUUAUUACUAUUAUUUUAAUAAACAUGUUCAAACUUG